CGGUGUGGCGGCUCUUUCAGAAUUUGUCUAGUAGGCCUCUGGCUUUAGCUGGGAGACCCUC
rnacentral:snRNA from 1 species